GUUUNGUUUGUUCAUGGCAUUGUUAAUGAACCAUUCGUUUUCAAGCAUGGACUUGAAGCUAGACACAGAAGCAUUCUUAUCUUCAUCUUUACAUGUCUCGAUUUCACUGUUCCUGGGCCAAGAAAUUUCUUCAUCUUCUUCUCCUCCCUUCCAAACGAUGCCGUUGGACGCCGGUAGCAUUGCCUUUUUCUCUACCAGAGGGACGCAGAACAGCAGACAAUAAAGGGAAGUAGCUUUUUCUGUUUUAUACAGAGUACCACCGAUUUUAAGAGAGAGAGAUUACAAAUUU
rnacentral:lncRNA from 1 species